rnacentral:rRNA from 1 species
UGUGUUAGUGGAAGCGUCUGGAAAGGCGUGCGAUACAGGGUGACAGCCCCGUACACAAAAAUGCACAUAUUGUGAGCUUGAUGAGUAGGGCGGGACACGUGGUAUCCUGUCUGAAUAUGGGGGGACCAUCCUCCAAGGCUAAAUACUCCUGACUGACCGAUAGUGAACCAGUACCGUGAGGGAAAGGCGAAAAGAACCCCGGCGAGGGGAGUGAAAAAGAACCUGAAACCGUGUACGUACAAGCAGUGGGAGCACGCUUAGGCGUGUGACUGCGUACCUUUUGUAUAAUGGGUCAGCGACUUAUAUUCUGUAGCAAGGUUAACCGAAUAGGGGAGCCGAAGGGAAACCGAGUCUUAACUGGGCGUUAAGUUGCAGGGUAUAGACCCGAAACCCGGUGAUCUAGCCAUGGGCAGGUUGAAGGUUGGGUAACACUAACUGGAGGACCGAACCGACUAAUGUUGAAAAAUUAGCGGAUGACUUGUGGCUGGGGGUGAAAGGCCAAUCAAACCGGGAGAUAGCUGGUUCUCCCCGAAAGCUAUUUAGGUAGCGCCUCGUGAAUUCAUCUCCGGGGGUAGAGCACUGUUUCGGCA